CGGGAGCGGGGCCGAAGAUAUAAAAGCCGGGUUCCCGGAACACUAGCGUGAGUCUCGCGGCUGAGGCGUGGGGAUGGCGUUCCGCGGGAAGAGACCGGAGCACGGCGGGCCCCCGGAGCUGUUUUACGACAAGAAUGAAGCCCGGAAAUACGUGCGCAACUCACGGAUGAUUGAUGUCCAGACCCAGAUGACUGGGCGCGCAUUGGAGCUCCUUUGUCUGCCCGAGGGUCAGCCCUGUUACCUGUUGGAUAUUGGAUGUGGUUCUGGGCUGAGUGGAGAUUAUCUCUCGGAUGAGGGGCACUAUUGGGUGGGCAUCGACAUCAGCCCUGCCAUGCUGGAUGCGGCCUUGGACCGAGACACUGAGGGAGACUUGCUUCUGGGGGACAUGGGCCAGGGCAUUCCCUUCAAACCAGGCACCUUUGAUGGUUGUAUCAGCAUUUCUGCUGUCCAGUGGCUCUGUAAUGCAAAUAAGAAGUCUGACAUCCCUGCCAAGCGCCUAUACUGCUUUUUUUCUUCUCUUUACUCUGUGCUGGUCCGUGGAGCCCGGGCUGUCCUGCAGCUGUAUCCUGAGAACUCUGAGCAGUUGGAGUUGAUCACGAUCCAGGCCACCAAGGCUGGCUUCACUGGUGGCGUGGUGGUGGAUUUCCCCAACAGCGCCAAGGCAAAGAAGUUCUACCUCUGUUUGUUUUCUGGGCCUUCGACCUUUCUGCCAAAGGCCCUGACCGAAACUACUGAUGAAGAGGAGGCCACGGAGUCUGCGUUCACGAGUGAGAGAGGAUGUGCACGUGGUUCAUCCCCCUCCACCCACCAUAGAAUCCCUCUUGUCCUCACACUGGGGUCUACAGACGACAUGUGCUAACUGUAAACUUAGGACAUCCAUGGGUCCGGCGCUCAGGUGCUCAGGAAAUGGUUGUUACUCAAAUGGCGAGCGGCCCUCCGUGGCAGGAAUUAUGCUGGAAAUCGUUUGAGCCCAGCUGCCAGCCAGGGCUGGAGGCCAACAUCAGUGCUUGAGGAUCCUUGUCGCGGCUGCCGUGAGCUGACAGCCUUGUUUUCCUGCCUCAGACAUCUGUCGUUGCUGGGAACCCCCACUUGGUCUAUGCCAGGCACGCCGACCCCGCAGCCGGACCAGGGUCCGAAGUCGGCAGCACUGGGCAUCGGGCCUCUGGCUGUCCUUGGCAGUGCCAGGCUCUCGAGGGCUGACCCUGGCCCGUGUUGCCCUAAAAGUAGCUCGGCCCCCUGCCUGCCCGACAGGCAGCACCUAACAAGGGAACACACCUGAACAGGUGGUUACUGCCCCAAAGAUGCCCGUGAGGGAGUGGGGCCUCUCACCUCCCGCUCGUCUACCAGACAACCGCUUUGGCCCCAGGGGAUAUCACUGGGGGAGGAGAGGUGUCCAGAAGCAGGGACUUCUGUGGCAGGGGCAUCGGAGGCCGCCUGCCUCGGGGAGGACCACUAUUUUUCCCUGCGUGGACUAGCUUGAGUGCCACGUGGGUUCCACCCGUGCCCUCAGAGCUGUGUUUCCCGCAUAG